CGGCUUUCUUAUUGAUCUUACAAAUCACAUUUGCAUAUAUAUUUAUUUAUUAUUUCUCUUCGUUUCAUCACAAUCAUAGCGUGCAUAUGUUUUUAUUUUUUAUGUUGAUGUUUUUCUUUUUCCGCUGCCAGUUAUUUUCUUCACACUAGGCAUGUUAUCUAUAACAUCUAUGCUAUGCACACAAACUAUUUGUUUUAUGUAUCUUUCUAGUUUCUAACAACCUGUCUCUUUUCCAUUUUCCUUCUAUUGCUAUACGUGUUCUCGUAUCAAUAACUGGGUUGAAUUGCACACGAAUUUAUGCUUGUGAUAUAAAAUUCAGAAGUAAAUUUGAACUUUGAAGUGUGGAAACGAGUGAGAGAGUGGUGCAUGGAAAAUGUUUGUAAGAAAGUAUGCUUGAACGUGUGGUGUGGCAUUUAAUUCUGACCAAGAAGCUAAACGUUAUCUUGGUGAUAAAUCAAAUGACGCAUAGCCUAGCCCUGUUUGGAUAAACAACUUAUAGGAUAAAGGCAUAUCGGAUCAUAUAAGUGCUUAUGUGCAAGCCAUUUCUGUAUCAAAUGAUAAAUUAAAGUCACAUUGUUUUCAUAUAAAUAAGUUAUAUUGGAGAGCUUAAGGAAAUAAGCUGAAAACAACUUGUAAACAUGUCAUAAGUUGUUUUCAUAAACUCCUCUUUUCCUGUAACUGCUUUGUGACUGAAGUUUAUUUUGAUUAUUUUAGUGUUUUCAUAAACAUGUCAUGUCAAUUUAGUGCUAAGAUUAUGUUGAUUUAGAUAUUCCAAAAAUCUUAAUGGGAGAUUUUUUUCUUUUAUAUUUAUGUUGAUUAAUGGUAACUGGAUUAACUUUUUGUCAGGUGUUGGUAAGAAUGGAUUCAAACAGCAAGCAGAUUGAUGAAAAAUUAAUCGUCAAGCCAGCACCAAGUGUCACAUUCUGCCAAAGAAAGAAAUCUGGGAAUGGGAGUUUUGUGUCUAAAUUAAGAAAUCACUUUCAUGAAUUUAUUCAUGCAUCUGUUGAUGAACACAAGACAUGCUUGAGAAACACCAUUCAAAAGAUAUUUAAAGCUUCAACAAAUUUUGGAAAAAACAGUGAAAACGCAUACGAAAAUGAAAAUUCUGUACAACUUCAUUCAUCUACAAGGAACUAGAAUGCUUUUCUGAAUUAUCAGUAGAUGACAGGAGUAUUGUGAAAGUUUAUUUUAUAUAGCAAGACCUUAGAUCACUUGAUUUACUACAUUUAUUAUGUUUCACUACAAAGUAGUAAUCAGAAAGUACUGCCCUAUCAUUUGACCGAUGGUCUCUACUAAAUGUUGUGAAAUAGCAGCUAUAGAAAGUUUAUAUUAUAUAGUAAGACCUUAUUAAAACACUUGUUUUACUACAUUUAUUAUGUUUCACUACAAAGUAGUAAUCAGAAAGUACUGCCCUGUCAUUUGACUGAUUGUCUCUCCU